rnacentral:rRNA from 1 species
UACGUAGGGCCGAGCGUUGUCCGGAGUUACUGGGCGUAAAGCGCGCGCAGGCGGCUCGUCAAGCCUGACGUGAAAGCCCCGGCUCAACCGGGGAGGGUCGUCGGGGACUGGCGGGCUUGAGGUCGGCAGGGGUUGGUGGAAUUCCCGGUGGUAGUGGUGAAAUGCGAGAGAUCGGGAGGAACACCCGUGGCGAAGGCGGCCAACUGGGCCGGACCUGACGCUGAGGCGCGAAGGCGUGGGGAGCGA